rnacentral:lncRNA from 1 species
UUUUUUUUUUUUUUUUUUCUUUCUUUUAAUGUAAAAUGAUUGACUUAUUGUGUAUUGUUGAAAGUAGAACACGUUCAAUCCCAAAAAUAGAAAUUUUUUAUAAAACAUAUAUUAAGAGAUGUUACAAAUAUUCAAAUAAAAAAACACCAAACAAUAUAUUACAAUAUAUUCAUACCAAAAUUCUCUAUCUCUAUAGUAUCAAACUACACCAAAAUUCUAUUCCUAAUUCCUCUAUAGUAUGAAAUUACAAAGGACUUCAAAUCUCAGCACUAGAUAAUCUGUUAUCAUAUUGCUAGUGGAAAAUCUCCAAACUUCAAAACCACUAUAUACAUAUGAGAACAUAGGAGACGAUUAAGUAUUCCUCUGUCGACGUGGGAUAAAUUAAACAAUUCAUGUUCUACAUGGGAUGAACAAAAUCUACCUUAGCCAUUAUUUGUCAUCCUUUAACAAGUUAAAUUAUUUACUACAGUAAUAUUCUCCACCACACAUUCACACAAUAAAAUAUUCUACACACAGACCAAUAAAAUCUCUUUAAAUUUUAACUGCACAUUCUUUAAAAAAUACUAUUCAAAACUCUAUAAUUUCUUCAAUAAUGGGAGAUAAACAGACUCUUAUUCUAUAUUCGAAUCUUUUUGAGGAGAAAAGUUCUUUAUUAUAAAUAAGUUAGUGCAGCUACAGUUACAUUAUGCUUCAAAAUUUUAUUAACAGAAUCUAACAUGAACAAUAUUUUUGCCAUUGAUUUUAACAACACUUAAACAAUCAAGACACUAAUUCUUACACCUCAUACGUCAAAAAAGCUGCACAUUUUUUAAUAGCAUAGUUCUAAAUAAAUUGUCACAAACAAAGGGCGAUGUGUGGGUGAUAAAUAAUGGGAAUGGACAACAAACACCAAAAUAAUUUAAAAUGAAGAUUAAUGGAGAAAACAACAAUUUGUAGAGAACAAGAAACAGUUGGCAAAUAGAGUUCCUAGAAAAACUUAAAACCGUUCAAGAAUUCCGCAGAAGACCGGCAAAAAUUGAAGUGAUUAAUGAAACAUCUAGUGAUUGCAACUACAUGAAUAUAAGAUGAAGAUUUUGAGGUAUAAGCCAUUGACCACCCUACUCAACAAGCCUGUGCUAUAUCUGCAGCAAACUCUGCCCUUAAAACAAGCAUUCCAAGAGGCUAACAAAGAAAUGAAGUUAUACACGGCUAUGGACGGUUAGAUUGUAACUAUUAAAAUUCCGAUAUCCGGGAGCUUAUAGAGAGCUCUCAAAAGUCAAAAUUGACGAAAGACUAUUAGUGGCAAGUGGAUUUGCAGAUAGCAGAGAGAAAUUGUUAUGGUGAGUCACUUGGUAGAAGCGUGUACAAGUUUCUGAUGACGACGACUCAAGGACUCCAAAAGGCAGAAAAGAAUAUGCUAUGCAGCACUUCAAUAAAUUGAUUUGAUAUGUUUUCUAUAAAGUAAAAUGACCCUAUAUAUCCAGAAUGUACACAAUGCCUUACUAAACUGACAGUAACCUCUGAGGCUGGCUAUGAAACUUUUGGCCUAUAAAUCAAUACGUACCCAAUAAUUGCAAAUUUAUAACUGAAAUAAAAAAGUAACCAACAAUAUGGAAACCAGUGCAAGGACACUGCUAAUUCUAAGUAUCUAUAUUACAAAAUAAAGGUAUGAAUUUAGUCAUCAACUUUUAAAAUCACUUCAAACCCUGGCCCAAGAUGCCCACACAAGCUAAUAAUCCACAAUAAAAUCAAACCAAUUAAAUAAUUAGCCCAAUUACUCCAGCAGCCCACUAGCUUGCUCCAUUAAUUCUUGCAUGCCCAACCACUACAAAACCCAUAUAUUCCACGCCAUAGACCAGUUACAAUCCACCAAAUAUAGUCGAUCCAACUCUCACAUUGGUACUGUCCAUUUCAAUCGCAAGUUCAAAGUCACCAGACAUGCCCAUUGAUAACACACAUUGGGAUUCUGCCAUUCUAAGCACCUUGGAUCUACAGUCUAUUAGUCUUGAAGUUCUCGGGAGUUGACGUGUAGUUGGACACCCCUAUGGUCAUUAAGCCAAGGAUCGCGAGAUUUGGGCAACGUAGGUUGACAUGCUUUACAAGAUCUACACAAUUGGUAAGACCUUCAAAGGCUACCACUCGAUGUUUGAAACUACACGAUCCAGAUGAUUGGCAAGCUUCGCAUUUACUACGCCUUCAACCAUAUCUAAAUUUGGACAACAAUCAAUAGAGUUUUCACUUUAUUACUCUACAAAUGCCCAAUAAAAUGCCAAGUAAUGUCCUUCGGCAGCUGAGGGGCGUUUUUCAACAAUUUCUUGGACAUACUUUUCACCAAAGCACUGGUGACCUGCGUCAUAGACUUGUUGGAUAAGGGAAAUGAGUUUGGUCUUGCCGACAGCCACCACCCUCACGUCUUCGGAAGAACGGCUCGACCUCUCUACCGCCUGCUGGACUGGGUGAAACCAGGGCCGGUCCUGGGCUGAGGCGAGUGAGGCCCGCGCCUCAGGCCCAGGACCAUAGGGGGCCUCGUUUUGAUCCAAUUAAUUUUUUUUUCUUUUUCUUGAAAACAAACUGGCCCAAACCAAAACCAAUUAUCCAGCCGGCUUAAAGGGCCUAAUUUUGGCCCAAUAAUUUUUUUCCCUCUUAAAAACAGUCGGCCCAAAAAACCAAAACCAAUUAUCAACGAGCCCACAAUCCAUUUCCCUUUCAAAUUAUUUACCCAACCCAAUUUACCGAUCUAAUAUCCACUAUCCAACCCAAUUAACCAAAAAUUCCCAAAAUUCAAUUCAAUCAAAAACUCCCAAAAUCUAAAAUUUCCCAAGCUGUAUCUGCUCUGCUGCUCGACGCCUGCAGCUCUGCUCGUCACUGUCGUCAGUCCCCACUCCAGUCCGGUAGUCGCCUGUCCGCCCGGCGCCCUUCAGCUUUUGCCGAGUGCCGAGCCGACUGCAGGCUACAGCAGUGUAUGAAUUUUAGUCUUGAACUUUGGUCUUUAAGUUUGCUGGUUGAAAUUAUGCAGCAAAAUCAGAAACUCUACAAAAUAAUUCCAAGCCUGAAAAAGUCAAGUCAUCUAAAUAAAAUUACAGGAACAAGAAUGCUUAAUUAGAGAAAAAUCAAGAAAAUCCAUGCCACAGAAAUAUACUAAUAAGUAUAUUUUAGUAUUUACCUGUUGGUAGCUUCAAAAAAGAAAAACGAAAAUGUGGAAGUGGACUGAAUUUUGAGCGGAUUUGGGGGAAAAUGAAAUUCCAGUAUACAUGCUGCAUGCAUUUAGGGUUUGGGCCUUUUGGCCUAUAAGCCAGUAAAUUUCAAUGCGGUCACUGAACUAUCAGAAGAUUCUCAAUUAGGUCACUAGAAUUUAAUUUAGUUUCAAUUGAGCUAUUGAACUUCAGUUUAGUUUCAAUUGAUUUCAUUGAACUUCAAAUUUCAAUUCAAUUACUUAAUUGACAGUCAUACUAUAACAAAUCUUCUAAUAAUUCUUAUGUGACAUGCUAAUUUACUACUACAACAUAUCAUAAGAAUGUUAAAACCUAAAAAAAAAAAAAACAAAAAAAAAAACAAAAAAAACACACUCAUUUUAAUUUUUUAAUUAAAAAAAAGUUAUAACUCUCAUUUAUCCCUUCUUGUUCCCCUUACAAUAUUAAGGUGUCUGAAGGCUUUAUAGUUUAGUAAAGCAUGAUUGGAUUAUGUUAAAAUGUUAGAAUCAUGGGAGAUUGGAAGGUAUUAAAGAAAGGCUAUCAAAGAUGUGUGAAACAUAUCUGUUAAUUUAUUCUUCUACUUAUUGAUUAAUUUACCACAUUGGAAAUCUUAUUUAAGAAGCCAAUUUUGUGUUUAUGGAAGCCGUUAGGCCCGUUACUUAUAUUAGUGUUCCUGUUGGCACUUGGCAUCUAUCUACUAUUGCAAUGGAGUUGAAAUUUACUGAAAUCUGCAGAAGUCUUUUGGCUGGGAAUAGUGAAGAAAAUUCACCAAUUGAAAACUAUGCAUUUUAAUUAUAUGUAUGUCAGAAGGUGGUUUUGUUGAAAGGCUUGAAAGUGGAGUAAAUUUCGUCUUCAUGAAUAAAAUUAAUUCAAUUACUCUCCCACUGUAAACUAUUUCUACCUAGAGAUAAAACUUAUGAGCGAAAUCACUAAAGCGUAAAGGCAAACAUAAAGUAAGUGUAUAAAAUUUAAAAUAUCUUUAAAAGAUAUGUUUGGGGGACACAAAUUAAAAUUGGCUUUGUUCGGUAAACUANNNNNNNNNNNNNNNNNNNNNNNNNNNNNNNNNNNNNNNNNNNNNNNNNNNNNNNNNNNNNNNNNNNNNNNNNNNNNNNNNNNNNNNNNNNNNNNNNNNNNNNNNNNNNNNNNNNNNNNNNNNNNNNNNNNNNNNNNNNNNNNNNNNNNNNNNNNNNNNNNNNNNNNNNNNNNNNNNNNNNNNNNNNNNNNNNNNNNNNNNNNNNNNNNNNNNNNNNNNNNNNNNNNNNNNNNNNNNNNNNNNNNNNNNNNNNNNNNNNNNNNNNNNNNNNNNNNNNNNNAGUUGGCCAACUUGGUAACGAUGGAUUCAAAGAUUGGCAUAAUUUGCAUCGGUCUAUUAAAAGUCAUGAAGGAAAUGAAGACCAUUUAUGUUGCGUGACUGGCUGGAUUGAAUUGAAAAAUAGGUUUCGAACAAAAACUACAAUUGAUAAAAGUGUUGAAUUGUUGAUCGAUGCAGAAAGAGAACAUUGGAGGCAUGUAUUAACAAGGAUAAUCGCUAUUGUUAAAAGACUCGCCAAAAAUACCUUGCCAUUUCGAGGAGAUAAUGAGAGGCUAAAUGUUGAGAAUAAUGGCCUAUUUUUACAAAUGGUGGAAAUGAUUAAUGAGUUUGAUCCAGUAAUGAAAGAGCACCUUCGGCGGGCUAAUGCAAGAGAGAUUCAAUACACGUAUCUUGGCAAAAAAAUCCAAAAUGAGUUGAUACAGUUGUUGGCUAAUGAGGUGAGAAAUGCAAUUGUCAAGAAAGUUAAACAUGCAAAAUAUUUCGCGAUUAUACUUGAUUGUACUUCAGAUGCAAGUCGUGAGGAGCAGAUGUCUUUGAUAGUACGAUUUGUAGAUGAUUCAACAAACUUACCUACAGUUGAGGAACAUUGGCUUGAAUUUUUGAAGGUAGAUGACACAACAGGACUUGGACUUGCAACCGAGCUUCAAAAGGCUUUGAUCAAACUUGAUCUGGAUAUUGAUGACAUUAGAGGGCAAGGGUAUGAUAAUGGAUCUAACAUGAGUGGGAAGCACAAAGGUGUACAAAAAAGAGUACAUGAAAUGAAUCCCCGAGCUUUUUAUACUCCAUAUAGUGCUCAUAGUCUAAAUCUAGCAUUAUGUGAUAUGGUGAAUUGUUGUUCCAAAGCUGUAUCCUUCUUCGGAGUGAUACAACGCAUCUACACUUUAUUUUCCUCUUCUACCAAGCGAUGGAAAAUUUUUAAAGAUAAUGUAAAAGGGUUGACAGUUAAGCCAUUGUCACAAACACGUUGGGAAAGUCAUGUUGAGAGUGUGAAGCCUAUAAUGGAGCAAACCGCACAGAUAAGAGAAGCCUUACUUGAUUUGGCAGAAUCUAACGAAGAUCCUAAAGUGAAAAGUGAAGUCGAGUCGUUAGCAACACAUGAACUUCAGAAUUUUGAGUUCUUGCUUGGCAUUGUAAUCUGGUACAGGUUGUUGCAUGCAGUCAAUAUUGUGAGUAAAUUUCUUCAAACCGAAUCCAUGGAUAUUGAUCAUGCUUUCGAUCUAUUGCAAGGACUUGUUUUAUUUUUUGAAGAUUAUAGAGAAAUCAGAUUUGCCGUUACUAUGGAUGAAGCAACAAAAAAGGCAAACGAAAUGGGAAUUGAAAUUGUAUUUACAGAAAAACGCAUAAUUCGAAGGAAAAAACAAUUUGAUGAAAGCGGUAGUGAUGAGGUAAAGCAAUCAGCAGAAGAAUCUUUUAGAGUUGAGUACUUUAUUUUUAUAAUUGAUCAAGCUCUAUCUUCUCUGAGGGGUCGAUUUGAACAAUUCAAACAAUAUGAUGACAUAUUUGGAUUUUUGUUUAAUUUGAAAAGAUUAAGGGAUGCAAUUUUAUCAAGUUUGUUGAACUCUUAUAUGAAUCUUGAGAAAUAUCUUGAACAUGAUGGGCGUUCGGAUAUCAGUGGAGAUGAUUUAUGUUCGGAGUUACAAGUCUUGAAGAUUUAUUUAUCAAAUGAAGCAACAAGAGCAAUUGAAGUGCUGCAAUAUUUGAUGACUCACAUUAUUUGUUACCCAAAUGCUUAUAUUGCUUACAAAAUUUUGUUAACCAUACCGGUUACAGUUGCAUCUGCGGAAAGAAGUUUCUCAAAAUUGAAGUUGAUCAAGACCUAUCUUCAAUCAACUAUGUCACAAGAAAGAUUAAACUGGUUGGGCAUGUUAUCAAUAGAAAAAGAAAUGGUUGGGCAGCUAAAUUAUUCAGAUUUGAUUGAUAUUUUUGCCUCCAAAACGGCAAGACGAAUAGUAUUCAACUAAUUGUUUGAAACAUUGUUGGUUUUGAUGGUUUAUAAUAUAAAUCGUUUCUAUAAUAUAUUUAGUUGUUGUUUUAAUGUUAGUUUUUUAAGUUAGCAAUGAGUCGCAUAAUACGUCAUUGAAUUUUGUAUUUAAAUUGCUUUCGCUGAGGGGCCUACUUUACACGCUUCGCCUCAGGGCCCAUAAAUCACAGGACCGGCUCUGGGUGAAACACCACCCGAAGAGUUGUUAUAGCCACACCCUCCACUGUCGGAGCCGCAAUUAAUGAUAUUUCUUUUUUGGUUUUUAUUUCACUGUUCCAUCCAAACAACAUAUAGUCAACGGUCUCCAUCUCAACUCGUGAAUAUAAGAUUCUGCAACUUUUGCCAUCCACUUCAAUGUACCUGCCUAUUCUUCAGAAAUUUGUUGAAAUAUAGAGAAAGCAAAGAAGGCCUUCAAGUUUCUUCUGCACUUUACUUUAAGCACAACAAUUCAUUACGGCUACCUUACCGAGUUUUGGUUGAUACCAACUCCAUCAAUUUGGCCGGGCGAGCAACCUUGGAAACGAAAUUCAAGGGUUAAUUUGUUUAGGAUCGAUACGGUUCUAAUACCAUGUCAAAUAGAAUCAAAUCAAAACUAAAUAUGGUAACUAUCAAUUAUAAUAUUAACUAAUGGUAACCUAUAAUUUAAAUAUGGUAAAAACAAUCUAUCUAUAUAUACUACAAUUAUAAUGAUGAUAUAAACGUCAAUUGUAAUCUUCGACAGUCUCAUUGACAAGUUGAAGACUGGCGUAUUGUUGUAGUGUUUUAGUAUUUCACAAUGGAAUCUUUUACAAUAAAGAAAAAUAAUUAAUUCCAUGUUGGCGUACUUAUUCUUACAUUAUUAUCUAAAUACCAUGAAUUCAAACUCUCAAGGCGUGCAGAUCCUACAGAUUCCACCGAGAGAAUAGCACCCCUUCUCCCAGCUCCUACCUAAUGCACAUUUCUUGUAAAAAUGGGUAGCACACCGCAGGCCUUAUUCAAUGCUCUAUUAUGUCUAGACACCCAAAUCAUAGAAUGUUUGCUUGUGUGUGUCAACUUCUUUUUCUUUUUUCCUGAUUUCUGGCCUCCAAGUUUCUUGUGGCCAGCAAAAUAUUAUAAGACCCAAAAAUCUUGGGGAAAGAAAUUCCUCAACAAACAAAUUCAUCCACAAGAGUUGGAUUUCCUCUCUUGUUCAGAAUCAGUUGCCUUCCUUGGAAAUAAGGCUUAUAUUGGGAAAGGGCUUAUAGCUGCUGCUUCUUGUUGUUGUUAAGAAUCACUUGCUUUAGUAUGGUAACAAAAUGCAGAUAUCUUUGAUGUGAAGAACUAUGCAACAAAAGCCUUAGGAUAUUGCAAAAAAUGAUAAAAUACAAUUAUACAAGGGAGUCUGAUGUCAAAUAUGUGUAACCAAACCAUUCUAGCUUUAGGUACCUGACUUACGAAAUUGGCGUGUGACUAAUACCAAGCCCAUCACAGGUAAGUAUCAUCCCCUUAAAUCUCGAUAAAUAUUCGAGUGUUGGCAAUUCACAUUAUCAUUAAGCAAUCAUUAAAGAUGCAUGAAAAACAGCUGAAAUUUGACAUUACGAAAAAUCCUUACCCGCAAAGUAUACUUGUCAAUCUCAUAGUUUCCAUUCAAAUCACAGUCCAGUCUUUUGUCUGGAUCACUUAAUAUUGUAAUGGUUAGGUGGAAGAAAAGUUAUACUGCAUAUUCUAAAAAUGGAGACCUCAGAGCUCCGAGUAUUGAACAUUCAUGAUGCCAAUGCCCACAAAAGGGUGACUUUCUAUGAUGCACCGACACGAACACGUGUGUCCGACACGAUACGUGUCAGAUACGUCGACUCGUGAUUUUUCAAAAAAGUACCGACACGACACGUUCAUUAAAUUCCUUAAAUUCUUCAUUUAUAUAAUUUAAAUUUAGUUUUAUACUUAUUAUUGAUUUUUCUUGUCGAAAUCUUUUAAAUAUGAGUACUUAUUUGUUAUUUACUAAUAACUUAAUAGCUAUAGUAAGAAAAAAAAUGAUUAUUGUAGAGCGUCGGUAUCGACAUGUGUUGGACAUGGGCACGGACACACUACCCUAAUUGGAGUGUCCGUACUACAGGCUUUUAAUCUCUACUAGCACGGGCAUUUCAGCCUUGAAUUUGCAUACAAAAAUAUAGAGGAAUUCUGCCACCUGAGUACUAGACAAAAUGAAAACUCAAUGCAGUCUUAAUAGAGCUUAAAUGUCAGUUCCCACCUUAAGGUUAAAGAAUAUGGCAAUCCCUCUUACUUGCAUUUUCCUUUUUUAUUUUACUAUUUCAAAGAGGAAAGAAAAAGGUACAAGAUAGCAGUUGUACAUGUUCCAAAAAUGUCAGGCCCUAUUUCUAGUUUGAUUUUGUCAUGCAUUCAUGUAGAGUGAUGUGUUUAACAUAAUUCGAAGAAAUAAUGUAUAUAAAGUACAUCGAAACCAAAUUCAUAUGCAACAUAAAAUGCCAUAUUCAAACUGACUCAUGAUAGUGCUAUGUCAUCAAAAUUGUUUAGCUCAAAAAAAAAAAAAAACAAAGAGAAAAAAUCAAAAUCCACAUCACACAAGCACUAUACAGUAACUUGCCAAAAUGUGUUCAUAGACCAGAAUCAGAUAUCAGAGGUAUAGGGGAUUGACUUGUACAAUAACCGUUGUAUGCUUUGUUAAUCUCUUGAAAUUUUGCAGUAACAGCAGUAUCACGCCCAUGUUUGUCUGGAUGCCACUUCUGCACGCAGACAGAAUAUAAAUGAUAUAAAUGCCGACAAAUUGGUCUCUGUCCAAGGGUUGGGUAGGGUAUCAAAGUAUCAAUUCGCCCCCCGGGGCAUAGCCCAAUGGUGCAAAAGACAGGAGUGGUUAUCUCACGCCUUGCUGACAGCCGCAGUGAGGGGGUUCGAUUCUUGAAAUAUAGAAUUGAACUCUUUGUAGGCGCAGUGUACAGACAGCUCUUGUUCUCUGACUUGUUGGGGCACAUCCCGCGAUUUACUUUCCUCACAAAGCUCUAGGGGUAGGGUGAUGGGGCCCCCAAAGUUGAGGUUCAACCUUUAUCAAAGUAUCAAUUCAAAAAGGCAUAGAAAAGCUGCUUUAGAGAAUAUAUAAUGCUAACCAGUGCAAGCUCUCUGUAAUUAUAUCUUAAUGAUCCUUAAUCAAUAAAAUGGUUUCCGGUUAGCAAUUAUAAAGUUAAGAAAAGACAACUGAAUAGAUACGGUGGAGGAUCCAAUUUUAUUCAGACUGCUAAUAGGACUUAUGGUAAAGAAACAAAAGAGAAAGAGGAUAGUAAAAACCAAUAUUUAUAUGCUAAUUAAGAUGACACAACUUUAUAACUAUCACUAAAUCAAAGUCUCUAGUUUUUCAAAUAGACAAUCAAUUGAUACAAAAUAAUCAUUAAAGGUGAUUUAUAAAUUAUAACAUUAGAGGCACAGGGUAAUGUACAUUUUGUUUUUGCAACUGGAAGUAUGAUUUAGAUGAGCUUUUAAUAAAUACUUGUGCAUAAAAUCCCAGAGACAUUAAUUUUAUGGUCGUGGAAAUAAAAACACCAUAAAUCCUUUUUAAACAGUAGAACCACUAAAGCCGUGGUUGAUUUGCCAUUUUCGGCUCAUUUUCCCUUUUCCGUUUUCGAAAACGCGGAAAAGGCGUUUGGUCCGUCGUUUUCGAAAACGCAUUUUUGAAAACGAGUUAAAAUUUAUAACUGAAAACGCAAAACGACUUUUUAUCGUUUUCAGCAUUUUCAGUUAUAAAUGUCGAAAACGCUCAAAACGCGGAAAACGAGCCAUUUUCGUGGAAAACUAAAAAUCGUUUUGAAAAUGAAAAUGCAAACCAACCACUACCUAAUGUUUUGCUUUUGCAAGUCUAGCAGAAUCAGAAACUAAAUAUUAAGAAGUUGCAAAGAGAAAUUGCAACUACUAAAUAAAACCGGGUGUUAAAGAGUUGUUGAACCCAGGGAGGGGUGAAGGUACUUAGUUCUAAUUUCCUACAAGAGAAUAGAAAGAACAAUGCUAUCAUUGUCGAGUCUCUCUCUAGUCAUUGGGACAUUAUUAUUGCAAUAUCCACCCUUUUCCUGGUUGUUAACUAGAAAUCAGAAACAGAUCUGAAGAAAAUGAACAUUAAAUGCAAUGACUUUUUAGCAUUCUUGAAUUGUCUUAAAUUGUAGAAGAUGUAGGUACGUAAGUACAUUAAUAAGAAUUACCAGAACAUAGAAAAAUGGCCUAUACAUCAAAAUUAGUCAACAGAUCCAAUUAAAACCUGUUUCGAUGUGUGCUCGACUUGGGUUCCGUCCAAACUUCUUCAAGGAAACUCCGCCAAAUUUAUUUAACACUUUACUGAUAAUUUCCAUUCUCCAAACACUUCAACAAGAACUGGAUAGACUACAUGUUUCAAACUUUCAAGCAUUCCGUUUACAUGUAUAACAUGAUAUUACCGAGCCAACUUGUAAAACUGGAUUACAACCAAUGAGAAAGAAACGGAAGGUAUUAUAAGGCAGCUUCUUCAACAUCUGUCUUAACUGGCUCCUCUGGUAUGUUAUUGCCAUCUCUCAACCGGGAUGAUAUAUUGUCAAUGGCAGAAUUGAGUUGACCUAUUUUAUUUUAUUUUUAUUUUUUGUCAUUGUUAUUCAUUGAAAUCAAUAUAUAUUUAUAUCUUACUAGCAGUAAAUCUAAAAUAAAUAUAUCUACUAUAAAUUUAAAUACCAACUAAAUUAAAGUGAAAUCACAAUAAACUAAAUCUAGUUUUUUGUUCGCCAUUUUUAGAUUAAUGAUGUUACAAUAAAAGUCUACUAAACUAAAUAUAAGGCCAAAAAUAUUAAUGAUGUCCAAGAAGUUGUGAUCAUCAUACCUGCAAGAAAAAAGUUACUGAUUAGACAAAAAGAAUAACCAACCACAAUAAUAAAACAAUUGUUUAUAGUAUCUAAACAUAACAAUUACACAAACUUUUGAGACCCUGGGCCCAAGACAAAUUAAAAUUUGACAAAAAUAAUAAUAAUAAUAACAAAUUAUAAUUAUUGGGUAAUAAUAAUAUAUAUGUAAUAGAAAAUUAAAAAUUGACAAAAAUACUUACAAAUGACAAAAGUCACAAAACAGUUGAAUUUUACAUAUUUGGAUGAAUUUUCAAAAAAUUUCAUUUUUUUAUUUUUAUAUAUUUUUUCGCUGAUCCGAUUUGGUUUUAAACCACAAUUAAAAUUCUCAAAUCUAAACUAAACCGUUUUUAACCGGUUUGGUUUGGUUCAAAAUCAUUUCAUUGACGGGUUCACAUGGCGCCAAACUGACGGUUUCUAAAAUAUGAUUUCGAUUCGAUUUGUCGGUUUUUGCUUAUAGUCCUGUACACCAAAAAUUGUGUGUGCCACUAAGCCAAAAACAACUGUUACUCUAGGCGAAAUUGACUUAGAACGCAUGUUCACCCAAAAUAAAAUAUUUGUAAAGAAUGUGAUAUUACAAUUUUCACAACAAACAGCAUAUUUCUGUAAAAAAAUUGUUUUUAAUCAUAAUUGACAAUGCUAAUAGGCAACUAAAUAGUAAAAAGAGAGUGCAUCUAAUUAUAAAUGUAAGUGGCCAAGUCAAUCUUGUUGCCCCGAACUAAGUGAUAGAUGAACCCCGCCCUCUGAUUCGUGAAUGUCGUCCUAUGGGAGAUAGGCUCGAUCCCACAAGGAUUGAAUUAGUUCAAAUUAACUUAUUAUGACCUUAACCGAAACACGGAAAUCAAAUUGAUAUUUUGUACUUUAACUAGAAAGAUGUAAACUUUGAUGCAAGUAUGAAUGAAAAAUUAUACUAAAUGCAAAAUAACUUGAAUGCAAUUUAACUCGAGUUUAUGGAAUUCAUGAAUAUACUAACACACUAGAAUCACGAAUCCCCAAGCAAUACCCGUUCAAUUUUCAAUCAUACAAAUUUGACACGCAAUUCCACAAAAGAUUAAUUUAUAUUCCUAUUAUAAUUUAGUAAUCUCUCUCGAGCAAUGCCAAACCUAUCCUAAUAUAUGAUUCGACUAUAUUUCUAUGAUGAAUGCUAACAUACCGAAAUGCAUUAUAAAUUCAUGAAUAUCCAAUGAUUCACGCAAGGCAUAGAGGUAUAUUUAUAUCCCCUAUCGGACUCUAUGAUGAUUUAUACUAUAUCGAACCUAUUUCCUUCUUUCGAAUACAUAAAACAGGCCAUCACAAUCAUAUAAUUACGUGCACAAUAAUCAUAUGAAAAUAAAAACGUAAUAAAUCAAUCAAAUCUGGAACUUGCGUUUAAAUACGUCAAAAAUCCAAAUCAACAAUCAAACGUAGUAUUACAAAGUUCAUCGAUCUCCUAGCAAUGAUAAAUUUGGCCUAACAUGCUAAAAGAAGAAAACAUAAAAAUAUUCGAAGAAACGUCAUCACCCGAAUCAAUUUUCAAUCGAAUCUUCACUUGGCGCGAUAUUGUCCUCUUGUUCUCUCCUUGUUUCUCCUUCAAGAUCUCUCAAAAACUUGUAAAAACGGUAUCCCUUACAUUCUGGUCGAGUUUUUAUUUAUAUAGGACCCUAAAAAUAUUGUUUCCAUAAGAGUUUCGACGGAAAAAGAAAACUGCGAUUUUUCCCUAAUAUUGCUCUAUGCGACCGCAUAGAACAUCUCUAUGCGGUUGCAUAGAGUAAAGUUUUUGUGGCACUUUAUCUUUGGGUAGCCUCUAUGCGACCGCAUAGACGGGUCGCAUAGUGCUACCAACUAUGGAAAUUGUGCAUUUUGGUCCUUCUACUUGAAUCAUUCACUUCUUGACAUCUUUUCUUCAUUCCUUUCAUUCCAUCAUCCCAAUAUAUCAUCAAUUGGCAAUUGGCUUAAUCAAUUUCUCGAUUUGUUCAUCGGGUCAACUUUUAGAUAAUUGUACCUUGGUCCCUGAAUUUCACUUUGCGUCAUUUUAGUCAUUUUUCACGUAUUUUCUCCUGAAUUUCACCAUGUUCAUCGUUGUUCCCUACAAUUCACAAAUGUAAGAGAUUAAGUCACAAUUCAAUCAUUUUGCUCGUUAUUCAGUAAUGUUUGUGACCUAAAUAAGUGUGCAAAAACACACUUAUCAAACCCCCCAAACUUGAAAUAUUGUUUGUCCUCAAAUAAGAUAGUGACUUAAUUCUGAACAAACAUGGCUUAAUACCCUGUUGUGGCUCAGGAUUGGACUAAGUAUUUGACUUUACGAAAAUUUAUCUGUGCAAACAUGACAUCAACCUUUACCUGUUAAAUGCAAAUUGACGUAUGUGUGUGAAUUCAUGCCAACAUAUCAAGUUCAUGAUGAAUUUGAGUCCCGACCUCAAGUGGUCAAAUAUAUCCUUACUCGCUCGAGAGAUACACAACCCCCCAAACUUAUUCUUUUCACUCAAUUACCCCGGGGUUGUGUUUUAAGAUUAGGAAUUUAUAUAGCGGUAGUCCUCACCCUCUUGUGGUUUGGAUUAGUCUUACUAUCAUAAGUCUAAAUUUCAACAAGUGAAGGCUCUCCUAAGUUUGAUUGUUUCGACACUCAAGAUUAAAUUAGGUUAUUUGUCUCGCUUUAGAGGUAUAGUCUCUUCAACCAAAUGUCUAAGGGCUUCUCAUCAUGUUAUUGUCUCUCUUUUGUUUUUCUCACCUUUCUUUAAUUUCUGAUUGAUUGUCAUCUUCUCAUUUGCUUUCUAUAUAACCCAUGUAACGAGUUUUAAGCCGGUAAUUCCCAAACUAGUUGGCUUUAGGGCACUAGGUUUUAAACCCUUGCAGGCUUAUUCACUCGAGUUAUAAAGGCUCGAUAAGAUGACUUUUUAUUAACUUCUUUCCAUCUUUCUUUCUAUAUGACCCAUGUAUCGAGUUUUAGGCCGGUGACUCCCAAACCAGUUGGCUUUAGGGUACCAGAUUUUGAAAUAUCCUUACAGGCUUACUUGCUCGAGUCAUAAAGGCAUGAAAAGAAGUGUUUUAUUCUCACAUAUUAAUUUUGUGCCCUUUGUUAUUUUUCUAGACAUAUAGUUUCCAAAACCAACCCCCAAUUUAAGAUUUUCACCUACUCUUCAUCCCACUGGUCUAGACAAUCCACACAAUAAAUUUUAUGCAUGGAGCCCCCGCUCAUCUCAAUGCUUUCCUAUAAUAGCUAAACUAUUACCAAACUGUCUUAAGACAAUUUAUGGGUUAAUUCAAUAGAGGGUUAUCAUUCUUUUCCUACUUUAUGCUCAAAAUCCAGUCAUUCUCCUAAUAUUGUAAACAUGAAUAGCGUGCAUAGAUAUGUCAAGUGUUGCAUCAACAAGUAUCAGUUAGUCUAAUUAACAUCAGAUCCAAAGUUUUGCAGUUUACACUAGUCUAAUAAUAUCAUCAUAGCUAACAAGGUUAUCAAGCUCACACAAGCAUGCAUGAAGAGAAUUUAAAACAACUGAAUAAAAUGAAUUUUUUUUUUAAUAACACUCAUCAUCCACACAUUAUGCAGUAGUGUAAAUCAGUGGAAAAUAAAUAAUGAUGAACACAGAUAGAGAUUUAAAAUUAUGUUACCCUCCCCAAAUUUAGUUAAUACAUUGUCCUCAAUGUAAGAUUAACAAAAGCUUAAAGACAUAGUUUUAAGAACAAAAUGAAGAAGAAAAAUCAGAAUGUGGUAAACAGUACUCCCUAAUCAAAAUGGUGGCGACGACGGAAAGCUGGAUCUGGCAGCAUCAUCUCCUGGAGAGGACGGCAUGCAGGCUAAAAUCUCUAUCAAUAUGGCAGACUGCUGGGUCUGCUCCGCCUGCAUGGCCUGAGCCCUGGUAUCCAAACUUCCUAGACGGUGCCAAGUCUCGUUUACCCGCCACUGUAUACUAUCCAUCCGGCCAACGUACAUGCCCAAGCGCCCGUCAAAGGUACUUAUCUGUCGGCGUGCCGUGAGGGAUUCACUGCUGGCAGUGGAAGCGAAGUUUCAUGCAAAUGCCAUAUCCAUCUACACCUGCUGGAUAGUGGUACUCAGUGCUCCAAAAGAGUGCUGAGGUUGUUGCAUGUCGCGGUUGUGUCCAGUCAUAGUGGCAAACAUCUGCCUCAGUAAAUGUGUGUCUAUGUCAGCCGGUGGUGGUGGAGCUUGUGGCAUGUCAAAGUCCUCAGCGGCUUGCCCUUCUUCAGCCUGUUGCUGUCGUCGACGCUCAUUUUCCAACUUUCGUUGAUAUUUAAUUCUGGCUCGGUCUUAGGCCUCGAGUGUAAGGCGCUUGAUAAAUGGACUUGGUUUCUCUGGUGCCUCCUCUGGCUGAACUUGUAUGCCUGCAGCUCUACAAACCCCACUUAUCAAGCUCGGAAAAAUCAUUGAGGUGUGCCUGUCAUCCCAUGCGCUCGUAAUGUGUAUCUGAUUGUAAAUGUAAGUGGCCAAGUCAAUCUUGUUGCCCCAAACUAAGUGAUAGAUGAACCCCGCCUUCUGAUUCGUGAAUGUUGUCCUAUGGGAGAUGGGCUCGAUGUUGUGGCAGAUGAACAACCAUAGGAUUGCUAUAGAAGAAGUGAGGUCAAUCUGAUACCAAUCAGUAGUAGGAAGAUGCCAAGCAUUUUCGCGUCCCAAUAACACUUCUGCAGCCUCAAUCCAGUUGAAAUCAUGCGGGACUGAGACUACAUUAGUCCAGGUGAGCUGAUAGUAGUCAUGAAUUACUUCAGGUGAAAACAUGAUCCAUUUGCCCCGAACCCAAGUUUGAUGCAGAUGAUCGGAUCCAAGUGUGUCUAUUUCAACAUUGAAGUUGGCAUAGAAUUCCCGCACCAAAUUUUCAUAGAUGGGGUGUGGUCUUUCGAUCACUUUCUCCCAACCACAGUUGUGGAUUAAAUAAACCAAUUCAAAACCCGGGAAAUCACCCAACUUAACUUGUCUCUCAGGGAUGAGUGCCCACUCACGGACAACAUUGGCAUAGCGGGCUGCUUGAUCUGAAGAUAGAAAACGCCGGACACCCCCCUCGGGUUCCCUAGUCCGAGCUGUGCCAGAUGUGGAAACAAUAUUCUCCUUUCCUUUUGAUGUUCGCUUGGGAGGCAUCCUGCAAAGGUAUAAAAAACAGUCAUUAAACUGCAUUUUGAAAAAUAAUAGGGGGAUGAGAUUAGCAAGACAAGUAUUUCACAAAUUUCCCAAACUUGCUUCAACAUGCAUAUAGAACUUCGUGGUGUUACCACAUUUGAAAAAUUGGACCCAUGACCGAGUGCGCAUGUUCGGCCCCGGACAUCAUCGAAAAAUAUCAAAAUUUCCUUGGGCCAUCUCUGGGCAUAUGAAAGUAUUCAAUGAGAUCUACCAUAUAUUUAAAUUUAAAAGCAAAUGAACUUCGUUUGGUAUGCCAAAUAAUGGUGGAAAGUAGGGGACGUAGGGUGCCGUGACAUGCCGUGUGCCUACGUGUUGCAAAAUGGAUGUGAUAUAAUACAUGGCCUUUCAAGUGGUUGUGAAUGUGGUAACAUGCAAAUGUCAAGAAAACAUGCUCAAGAACGUAUAAGGCAAAAUAACAAUAUACACACAAACGGAGCGCAAAACAACCAAAUGUGUUAAGUGACUCGUGAUUAAGUGUGCGCUUGUGCCCCCGGACAUCAUCGAGAAAAUUUGAAUUUUUCUCGAGCAACCUCUGGGCAUAUGAAAGUACGUAGUUUGGAGUGAUACAUAUUCAAAUUUCAUGCGCAUUGGGCGUCGUAUGGGUACUUAAUGCAGGGGACGAAGUGGGUACGAUGAAGUGACGUGAGCCUAACACGUGUGCCUAAAUAUGGGUAAGUGAGUGUUUUGAGCUCAAUUUCUAUGGCAUUUGACCACCACGUAUAUGGGAAUGCGUAUAUGCAAAUUGUCUAAUGUAGAAUUGCGCAAAAUGUACUAAAAAAUUCACUUAGCCAAUGCAUCGAACACGUUGUGUGCAAUAAAAAUUCAUCUUCAUUCUAAAAAUACUUGGCAAAUGGUAAUCACCCAAAAAAAACAAAAACACAAAUGAAAGCCCUAAACCAAGCAUACUUACACCCAUUCAACCGAACUCCCAAUUGGAAAAUAUAAGUAACUACAACCCAAAUUCGAAAUGAAAGGAGGGAAUAAAAUUCAUACCUUUGUGUGCCUUGAAGAUGAGUGAUGAAUAUGGGAGCGAUUGAUGAAAUGAAUGAGGGGUAGGCAUGUUAGCGAGUGUGUGUGUGUGUGUGUUCGAACGAGAUUAGUUGGACCUAAGGGGCUGAGAGAUGAAAUGGCGAGGGAAGUGGGGAGAGUGGUGUCUAAAGAGCCGGCCAUGGCUUAAGUCCAUGACCGGACUAAUACUAUGCGGCCGCAUAGUUUAUUCCUAUGCGGUCGCAUAGUAAUGUAAUUUUUCCCCAAUUUAACUUAGGUAGAUGUCUAUGCGGUCGCAUAGACAUUAUGUCUAUGUGAUCGCAUAGACCAAAUUUAAAAAAAANNNNNNNNNNCCUAAAAAAAAAAAUUAAAAAAAAAAAAAAAAAAAAAAAAAAAAAAAAAAAAAAAAAACUGCAAUGCAUAAAGUUAUUUCCCUCGUAAUUAAUUUUUUUUAAAAAAAAAGAAACGUUCUUUUAUCUAGAAAUGCGUGAACCAUGCUCCCAAACACCUAAAAUCAUUUCAAACUCAUCGACCAUGUGUGUAAUGCCUAGAAAAUUAUGGGGAUGAUAAUUCGAUCCAAUUAACAUGCAUAUACGACCGAUGACCUAGAAAAAUGCAAAUACGAAAAUGAAAUAAUUUUAAAAAUAAUGUGAAAAGUAAGCUAAUAGAAGGAUACAGUAGGUUGCCUCCCACCCAAUGCUAGAUUAUAAUCGAUAGCUCGACUUUACCGUAUUGCGUCAUUCUGGUGGUUUAAGAUGAACGGUAGACUUUUCCUUUGAAAAAUUGCCACCCCAAUAGUGCUUCAAACGCUAUCCAUUGACCUUAAAUGUCCCCUUACUAUCGUAAGUGAUCUCAGCUGCCCCAUGUGGAAAAGCCUGUGUAAUAGUAUACGGACCAGACCACCUCGAUCGCAGCUUUCCUGGAAACAGCUUAAGCCUAAAGUUGUAGAGUAGCACUUUCUGCCCCCACCGUAAAUUCACGCCUCUAAAUGUGCAUAUCAUGUCAUUUCUUGGUGCGCUCUUUGUAGAGUUUUGAAUUCUCGUAGGCUUCCAUUCUAAGCUCAACCAGCUCAUUAAGUUGUAGCAGACGUUUUCCACCCUCAGCCUUCAAAUCCAAAUUCAAUUUCUUCAUUGCCCAGUAAGCAUGAUGUUCUAUCUCAAGAGGUAAGUGGCAUGCCUUCCGAAAAACCAGUCGAUAUGGUGACAUUCAUAUAGGGGUCUUGAAUGCAGUCCUAUAGGCCCACAAGGCGUCGUCUAGUUUCUUAGACCAAUCUUUUCGUGACGAGCUUACUGUGACUUCGAGUAUUCUCUUCAAUUGCCUAUUGGAAACUUCGACCUAUCCGCUGGUUUGGGGAUGAUAUACAGUGGCUACACGAUAUUUAAUGCCAUAUUUAGUCAACAAUUGUUCAAACUGGCGAUUGCAGAAAUGUUUGCCUCCGUCACUGAUUAUAGCCCUUGGUGUGCCAAAACAGGUAAAAAUAUGUUUCUUUAGAAACUCAAUCACCACCUUCCCAUCGUUGGUAGGCAAUGCAACUGUCUCUACCCACUUCGAUACGUAAUCCACAGCCACUAAGAUGUACUAAUUAGAGAAGGAUGGGAGAAAUGGCCCAUGAAGUCGAUCCUCCAGACGUCGAAUAGUUCCACCUCCAGGAUAUUGUUCAAGGGCAUUUCGUUUCUUUUGGAUAUAUUACCAGUGUGUUGACAUCGAUCACACAUUUUCAUAAAUUCAAAAGCAUCCUUAAACAGUGUAGGCCAGUAAAAACCUAAUUGAAGGAUCUUCGUCGUUGUUUUCGAAGCACCAAAAUGCCCUGCAUAUGUAGAUGUAAGGGUGUAAACGAGCCGAGUCGAACCGGCUCUCGAGCCGAAACUUCCGGCUCGUGCUCGGCUCGAGCUUUUUCAAUACGGGCUUUUUUGGGCCCAAGCCGAGCCGGCUCGUGUUUUGAUAUCUUUUUUUUUUCUCCUAAUUGCUGCCCAACAGGCAGCUUUAAUUAUAAAGCUGCCAGGAGCUUUGUAGCUGUCGGCAGCCUAUUUUUUUUAUUUUUUUAUUUUUUGUUUUAAAUUAAACGGGCUGGCCCGGGCUCGGGCCAUUGCCCCUUUUUGGGGCUCGGCCCGAGCUUUGGCUCGGUUGGUCCGAGCCACGAGCCGGGCCGACUCGGGCUUUUUUCGAGCCGAGCAACGGGCCGCCCGAGCCACCGAGCUUUUUUGACAUCCCUAUGUAGAUGAAUGUCAACGUUCUAAUAUCAAAGGCACUUCUUCUUCAGGUACACAGUGACGAACGAUUUGAUCUGCCCUCGCCUGUAUAGAAUGGGGUCCUCCCGAAAAUAAUACUUCAAUUCAACGAAAAAUUUCUUCUUCUGGUGACUGGAAUAAUCAGGGGGCAUGAUAGACCUGGCUAAGUAGUUAACUAUGUCCGCAUACUAGGGUGCCUCCCCCACACUAAAAAUCUACUCAUCUGGGAAGACAUCGUUGAUUUCCACUGUUUCUGUCUGUUCUGUGGCCUUGAAUCAAGACAAGUGGUCUACUAUCACGUUUUCACUGCCCUUCUUAUCCCUAAUUUUCAAGUCAAACUCUUGAAACAACAAUAUCCAACGAAUGAGACGUGGCUUUGCAUCCUUCUCUUCCAUUAAGUACUUGAUAGCAGCGUGAUCUAUGUAAACGAUGACCUUUGACCCCACAAGAUAUGAUCGAAAUUUAUCAAAGGCGUAGACUACAGCAAGGAGUUCUUUUUCUGUAGUGGCAUAAUUUAGUUUCGCGUCGUUCAAGGUCUUACUUGCAAAGUAGAUCACGUGAAAUAUCUUAUUUCUUCCUUGUCCCAAUACUGCCCCCAACAGCAAAAUCACUGGCGUCGCACAUUAAUUUAAAUGGCAGAUUCCAAUCCGAUGUGAUGAUCACGGUUGCUGAAAUCAACUUCUCUUUCAAUGUGUUAAAAGCCAGCAAAUACUCAUCCGUGAACUCAAAUGUGGAUUCCUUCAUCAAUAAACAGCAUUGUGGUUUGGUAAUUUUUGAGAAAUCCUUGAUGAACCUUCUGUAGAACCCAGCAUGCCUGAGGAAACUAUGGACACCUUUUACUGAUGUAGGUGGUGGUAAUUUCUCAAGUACCUGAAUCUUUGCUCUGUACACUUCAAUACCCUUUGCUGAGAUUCUGUGUCCUAGCACGAUGCCUUCUUGUACCACAAAGUGACAUUUCUCUCAAUUCAAUACUAAGUAAGUCUCCGUACAGCGCUGUAGCACAAGACUCAAAUGUUCCAAACACUCAUCAAACGAAGACCCAAACACUGAGAAGUCGUCAAUGAAUACCUCUAUGAAUUUCUCAAUCAUAUUCGAGAAGAUAGCCAUCAUGCAGCGCUGAAACGUGGUAGGAGUGUUGCAUAAACCAAACAGCAUCCUACGGUAUGCAAAGGUACCGUAGGGACAGAUGAAAGUUAUCUUCUCUUGAUCGUCAGGUGCUACUGGAAUCUGAUUAUACCCGGAGUACCCAUCUAGAAAACAGUAAUGCGAGUGCCCUGCUAGUCUUUUUAGGUACUGAUCAAUGAACGGUAGUGGAAAGUGAUCCUUUCGAGUAGCAGCGUUUAGUUUACGGUAAUCGAUGCAAACUCUACAUCCAAUCACUGUUCAUGUAGGAAUCAACUCAUUUUUCUCAUUUUCUAUCACUGUGAUACCCCCUUUCUUGGGAACAACCUGUACUGCACUGAUUCAUGCACUAUCUAAUAUUGGAUAGAUGAUGCCUGCGUCAAGCAACUUCAAUACCUCAGCCCUAACCACUUCUUUAUGUGUGGAUUCAAUCUUCGCUGACCAUCAAUGCUUGGCUUGAAUUUUUCCUCCAUGAGUAUUUUGUGCAUGCAUAGUGACGGGUCGAUCCCCUUGAUAUCUGCAAUUGACCAUCCAAUGGCUGUUUUAUUCUCCCUUAGCACCCGAAAUAGUUUCUCUUCCCCCACUUCACUAACAGUAUUUGAAAUAAUAAUCGAAAGUGUAGAAAAUUCCCCUAGGUAAGCAUAUCAAAGGUGUGGUGGCAAUUGUUUAAGUUCCAACUUGGGAGGUUGCUGAAUAGAUGGCACUGACUUUGUAGUCCUAGUUCCCAGCUCUUCGAAGUGGCGUUUGCACAUGUAUGGUGGAUUAGUUUCCAAAAAUCGUGCACAUAUUUCAAUCUCACUUGAAUCAGCAUGAGUGGAUUGGGAAUGUGCAAUGCAUGCCUCGUAUGUAUCGGAAGGAUGAUAUAGCCAAAAUGUAUCUUGGAUUAUUCUAUCAAUUACAUCGAUUUGGAAACGGCUGUCUGACUCAGUAGGAAAUUUCAUUACCUUGAACACGUUGAAAAAGAUUUGCUCUUCGUCAAGUCUCAAUAUAAGCUGCCCCUUUUGAACAUCAACAAUCGCUCUUCCAGUAGAUAAGAAAGGUCGCCCCAAUAUGAGUGGAACAUCCUCAUCCUCCUCCAUGUCUAAGAUGAGAAAAUCGGCUGGAAAUAUGAACUUCUCCACUUUUACCAACACGUCUUCAAUGAUCCCUCUUAAAUGUGUAAGGGAUCGAUCUGCUAACUAUAAUGUGACUGUUGUGGCUUUAGCUUUUUCCAACCCGAGUUUCUUGAAAAUAGAAAUAGGCAUUAAAUUAAUACUUGCACCUAAAUCACAUAACGCUUUAUCAAAAUGACAAUUCCCAAUAGUGCAAGGUACAGUAAAACUCCUUCGAUCCUAGAGUUUUGGAGGCAGCUUUUUCUGGAUUCUGGCACUGCAUUCCUCAGUUAGCAUCACUGUUUCAUUUUCUUCUAUCUUUCACUUGUUGGAGAGGAUAUCCUUUAGGAAUUUUGCAUAACUCGACAUCUAAACAAGUGUUUCAGCAAAUGGGAUGUUGAUGUGUAGUUUCUUGAAGACUUUAAGAAACUUACUAUAUUACUGAUCCAAUUUGUGCUUUUUCAAUCUCUGCGGGAAUGGAAUAGGAGGCUCAUGAGGGUUUAUAGGAUUGGUAGCUUUACCCCGUGAUGUAUUGGAAUUCUUCUUAACCACAUCCCCUAUUAUUUGUUCAGUCUGUUCCAUAAUCUCGUCAUCUGAGGUUGGUGCUAAUUCCUUGCUAGCUACCGGUCUUUUUACAUGUAUCUCCGGUAGUUGUACUCCACUUCUAGUUGUUAUAGCCUUUGCCUGCUCCUUAGGGUUAACUUCAGUGUUGCUGGGUAAGUUUCCUGGUGCUCUACCCGUCAUAGAGAUUGCCAUAUGUCCCAUUUGUGUCUCCAAAAUUUUGAUUGCUGUAUGUUGGUCUUAAGAGUUGUAUCUGUCUUUCGUAUAAACUGGUUGUUGGCUUCCAUAUACUGAUUGGUUGUUGCCAUGAACUUCUCGAACAUCUCUUCCAAUGGUGGCUUUUUAUCCUACUACUGAUAUUGACCUUGCGGUUUGUUUUGAUUCUGAUUACUCCACGAGCAGUUUGGAUGUUUUCUCCAACCCUGAUGAAAGGUUUCCGAAUGUGGGUUGUUCUGUUGGCAUUGACCCCAUUGCACAAAAUUUGCAUGUUCAACCCCCUGUGUGAGAUUUGGACAAUUGACAAUAUUGUGGUCUGCUCUACAUUCUUCACAACUUGGCUUCUUAACUUGUUUUACAGUGGCAGUCUGUGAAAUGCUUUCAACCUUAUGGAACAAAGAGCCUAUCUUUGCGGACAAUGCUGAGUAAGUAUCAACUUCAUAAACCCCCGAUGUUCUCUUCUGAACCACUCGAUCUGUAGACCACAUGGCUGAAGCUGUAGCCAUUCUCUCAAACAGCUUCCAUGCUCCGCCAAUUGUUCUUGUAAAGAUAGACCAGUCGGAUGAUUAGUCCACCAUGCUCAUGAAGGAUGGAAGUAGUCUAGUGUAGAAAAAUCGGAUCUUUGUCUUCUUGUCGAAGCCAUGUUGAGGACACUUCCUUAACAUAUUUUUGAAAUGAUUCCAUGCCUCUUCAAAUGAUUCGGACUCACAUUGGUUGAAUAUAGAGAUGUCAUGCCGCAUUUUGGCUACCUUAGCUGGUGAGAAGAAUAUGGUGCAAAAUUUGUGGGCUAGCUCGUUCCAAGUGGUGAUGCUUGUGACAGGAAGUGAAUCCAACCAUUCAAGUGCUUUAUUCUGCAAAGUGUGUGAAAAUAAAUGCAAUCUUAUAGCAUCAUCCGAGAUACCCUGGUACCUGAAGUGUUGGCACAUAUCCAAAAAUUAGGAUAUGUGUGUAUGCGGAUUUUCACUAGCCAUCCCGUGGUAUCGAUGACCAUUCUGAAAUAGUUGAAUCACAUUUGUUUUCAGCUGGAAGUUCGGUUGCCCAAACGGAGAAUACACAAUACUAGAUUGACUUUGGACCACCAAUGGUGCCAUGAAGUCCCCAAGUACUGUAUUCCCGUCAUUUUCAACUACCAUACCUUCGUUGAGUGGAAUUACCGAUCGAUUUUGCUCGCUAGCCAUUUGUUGAGCCACUCUUGCUUCUCUUUGCCUGUGACGAAAUGUGCGUUCGAUCUCUGGAUCUAUGGGAACCAAGUCUUGAUCAGGUGCUCCUUACAUACAAGCUCUGAGAUAGCAAAAUUAACACAAAAUUAAAUUGAAGUAAAUAAUAAACUAAACUUAGUAAGCUAACUACUACUAAUUUAGAUAAGUUCAAAUUAGUGUCACAAAAGAUAAAAUUAAAACUAAAUUUCAAUCCCCGACAACAGCACCAAAAACUUGUUCACGAAAUUAUUUGCUCUGAUUUAAAAUCCACCGCAAGUGUACGGUUCGUUAACAAGUAGUAAAAUGGACUAUGAGUCCAAGUAUCGAUCCUACAAGGAUUGAAUUAGUUCAAAUUAACCUAUUAUGACCUUAAUCGAAACACGAAAAUCAAAUUGAUGUUUUGUACUUUAACUAGAAAGAAGUAAACUUUGAUGCAAGUAUGAAUGAGAAAUUAUACUAAAUGCAAAAUAACUUGGAUGCAAUUUAACUCGAGUUUAUGGAAUUAAUGAAUAUACUAACACACUAGGAUCACGAAUCCCCAAGUAAUACCCGUUCAAUUUUCAAUGAUGCAAAUUUGACACACAAUUUCACAAAAGAUGAAUCUAUAUUCCUAUUUUAAUUUAGCAAUCUCUCUCGAGCAAUGUCAAACCUAUCCCAAUAUAUGAUUCGACUAUAUAUCUAUGAUGAAUGCUAACUUAUCGAAAUGCAUUAUAAAUUCAUGAAUAUCCAAUGAUUCAUACAAGGCAUAUAGGUAUAUUUCUAUCCCCUGUCAGACCCUAUGAUGAUUUAUACUAUGUCGAACCUAUUUUUCUUCUUUCGAAUGCAUAAAACAGGCCACCACAAUCAUAUAAUUACGUGCACAAUAAUUAUAUGAAAAUAAAAACGUAAUAAACCAAUCAAAUCCGAAACUUGCGUUUAAAUAUGUCAAAAAUCCAAAUCAACAAUCAAACGUAGUAUUACAAGGUUCAUCAAUCUCCUAGCAAUGAUAAAUUUAGCCUAACAUGCUAAAAAAAGAAAACAUAAAAAUAUUCGAAGAAACGUCAUCACCCGAAUCAAUCUUCAAUCGAAUAUUCACUUGGCACGAUGUUGCCCCUCUUGUUCUCUCCUUGUUUCUCCUUCAAAAUCUCUCAAAAACUUGUAAAAAUGGUGUCCCUUACAUUCUGGUCAAGUUUUUGUUUAUAUAGGACCCUAAAAAUAUUGUUUCCAUAAGAGUUUCGACGGAAAAAGGAAACUGCGAUUUUUCCCUAAUAUUGCUCUAUGCGGUCGCAUAGAGUAAAGUUUUGUGGCACUUUAUCUUCAGGUUGCCUCUAUACGACCGCAUAGAGGGUAGCACUAUGCAGUAGUGCUACCAACUAUGGAAAUUGUGCAUUUUGGUCCUUCUACUUGAAUCCUUCACUUCUUGGCAUCUUUUCUUCAUUCCUUUCAUUCCAUCAUCCCAAGAUAUCAUCAAUUGGCAAUUUACUUAAUCAAUUUCUCGAUUUGUUCAUCAGGACAACUUUUAGAUAAUUGCACCUUGGUCCCUGAACUUUCACUUUGCAUCAUUUUAGUCCUUUUUUCGCGUCUUUUCUCCUUAAUUUCACCAUGUUCAUCAUUAUUUCCUACAAUUCACAAAUGUACGAGAUUAAGUCACAAUUCAAUCAUUUUGCUCAUUAUUCAGUCAUGUUUGUGACCUAAAUAAGUGUCCAAAAACACACUUAUCAGCAAGCAAAUGGCAGAAAUUUGACAAAUUGUUAAUCUUUCACUUUUUGCCAAAAAUAAUGAUGAGUAAACCCAGAUUCCAAUUGAAGCCAAUACUAAACCCCCUACUACAGUUUAAGAAAUGCAUCAAAACCAACCAAUUAUACUGAUCCGGCCUAAAUUUAACUAGUCAACUUAAUGACUAGAGUCCGUAAAGAGAAAUUAUGUACCUGAUAUUUGGACCAUUAUGCUUGAAUGAAUUGAUAUUGAAGAUCUUAUCCAGUACCAAAUUCGGUUAGCUUAUAUAACCAUAUUAUGCUUGGGUAUUUCUGUAAACCUGAAUUUGAAUUUUGAACAAAGAAAGGACAUGGAAGGCUGAAAGAGGUAUGAAUUGUUUUAGAGUUUUUAAAAAAUUGACUGCAGCUUAUGCCUUUAGAUUAGCCUUACGUGAGGCUUUCAUUGAAAACCUCAAACCUUAUGCCUUGAGUGCUAUUGGUCAAGGCUAAGCUAAAGACAGUCCAAGUGUGCGCAUAUUUGUCUUACCUUUUGUAGGCUUUUAAUUACUGACUUCAGAUUUUUUUACUGUGUUUUAUACCUCAGAAACUUUUACAGUUCUUUCUUCUUCUUUUUUCUUUGCUUUUAUAAUGAAGGGGAAGGGGAAGGCACCAUUUUAAGUGGGGGAUGAUGACAAGUGAAGUUCAUAGCAUGUUAUUCAUUUUAUAACCAACUUUCAAGUUUUGCUAGAAUGUAGUGUUUUAAGAAAUUUAUCAUUAGACCAAUCAACUAUACAAGUUUCCCUCUAUAGCAAUAGAACAUCAAAUCACAUAUUUGAGGCUUGCUUUAAUAAUGUUUUGUCAAUGAGAUCGACGGAAAAUUACACUACAAUUACAUUGCCAUCUCUACGUGAUUGUAUUUGCCAAUUUAGAAUGAUUAAAUACCAUAAUUGUACAUUAACAUAUUAGGUAAAUUACAUACCAUAGACGUACAGAUUUCAAUUCAAUCCCAAAAAGGGACGACAUUUAGCUGAAACUUUUACGUUGUAUCAGAGCCAUACCUAUAGAAACGACGCUGAAUCUUCAAUUCUCGGUGUCGACAACUCUAUUCCAGCAUUUUUCUUGCAAGUCUUGAGGUUAAUCUGGUCGAUGUCACCGUCGUUUGCGUGACUCUAUCUCGAUGGUCGAAAUUCUGCAUCAGAAUUUUCAAAUUCUGUAGGUUUUCGACGCAAUUUCCAGCAUUUCUCGAGGUGUAUGAUGCGGUUUCCAACAUCUCUUGAGCAAUAGAAGAGAUAUUCAGGUGCUCCUCUAAUUGUAAUCGACACUAUUCCGGAGUUACUGUGGAUGCUCGAUGAUUUCAGCGUCACUCUAGGCUCGUGUUUUUGUGGGUAUUAUCAUGACUGAUUUUGUUAAACCACUGUUGGAUUGUGGACUGCUAUUUGUGUAGAGUGGAUUAUUGGGUUAUUCUAAUUGUUUUUUUGAGUUGCCAACUUGUGGGCUGGUAUUUGGUGUAAGUGGAUUUUACUUUGGUUGAUCUUUGAUACACAACCUCAUGUCAGUUGAAGUUUUUUUGUGUUAAAUUCAUGGGGAAGAAAUUCAGAAUGUUUUUUAAAGGAAAGGAGCUUUGGGGUCAUAUUGAUGGGUUUUCUAAAGUAUCUAAAGAUGCUAAGGAUCUUAGUGCGUGGAAAAGAAGGAUGCUGGUAUUAUUUCCUAGAUCUUGGGAUCUAUGGAAGCUCAUAUGGUGAAUAAUUUAUGACCCUUCACUACUGCUAAGGAAAUGUGGGAAUACUUAAAACAAAUCUAUUAUCAGGACAACAAUGCACAGCGAUUUCAAUUGGAGUUAGAGAUUGCAAACUACACUCAAGGCAAUCUCACUAUUGAGCAAUAUUACUCUGGUUUUCUAAGCUUGUGGAAUGAGUACUCCAACAUAAUUCAUGCUAAGGUCCCUACAACGAUUCUAUUGGCUCUCUAAGAAGUUCAAGAAGUUAGUAAGCGGGAUCAGUUCCUUAUGAAAUUACAACUUAUAUUUGAAGUUGCCAAGUCGAGUUUAUUGAAUCGCGAUCUGAUUCCCUCUUUGAAUGUAUGCAUGGGUGGACUUCUAUGUGAGAAGCAACGAUUGGCUACACAAACUUCCACGGGAGCUAAUAUGUCCUAUGAUGUGGUGAAUGUUGCAUAUGCAGCACAAGGACAGGGAAAAGCUAUAUUUCAGUGCUUCUACUGCAAAUGAUGCUGUCAUAUUGCUCGCAAUUGUCCUCAGAAAGUCUACAAUUACUGUAAGCAACUGGGGCAUCUCAUCAAGGAUUGUCCCAUACGACCUCCAAAUUGAAAAGUUCUGGCAUUUCAGGCUAAUGUUCAGGGACCUAUUCCCACAAUCUCCUAAGUGAGUACCAAUCAAUCGGAUCUUACCCCAGAAAUGGUUCAGCAAAUGAAUGUUUUCGCCUUCUGUGCCUUGGGCUUACAAGGCAAAGGUCAAGUUAUUUCUUCUCCUUGGUUUGUUUAUUUGGGGAUGUCAAAUCAUAUGACAGGUAGUUCUAAUUCAUUGCAUAAUAUCAAACGUGAUAUUGGCACACAACACAUUCAUAUUGUUAGUGGCAGUACCUUCCCAAUUACAGCUAUUGGUGAUAUUGGGUCUUCCUUUGAUAAUAUUUUUGCAUCUUCGAGGUUAUCUAUUAACUUGAUUUCGGUUGGCUAAUUAGCUGAUAAUAACUGUGAUGUGCAUUUCUCUCGUACUGGUUGUCUUGUGCAGGAUAAAGGAUCGGGGAAGGUGAUCGCGAAGGAGCCUCAAGUCGAAAGAUUGUUUCCAUUAUAAUUUAAUAUCCCUACUGCUUUAUCUUCAGCCUAUAUUGAUGUUAGACUUAAGCAUGGAAUGUGGCACAAAAGACUAGGACAUCCGAAUACUUUAAUUUUAUCUCAUUUGUUGAAGGGUGGUUUUUUAGGUAAUAAAGACCAAUCUCAGUUUUCUAAUUUAUCUUUCAAUUGAGACGCUUGUAAACUUGGGAAAAGUAAGAUUCUUCAAUUUUUAGCUCAUGGCAGCAGUGCUAAUAAAUGCUUUGAGAGUAUUCAUAGUGAUGUUUGGGGCAUGGCACCUGUCACUUCACGAGCUCAUUAUAAGUAUUUUGUGACAUUUAUUGAUGAUUUCAGUCGUUAUAUUUGGAUAUAUUUUCUCCACUCUAAAAGUGAUUUCGGUACCAUCCUUCGGACUUUUAUUGCUUAAAUUGAGACACAAUUUUUUUCUAGUAUUCAAAUUUUGCAAUUCGAUAAUGGUCGCAAAUAUGUCUCAUCAGUGCCAAACCUUAUUACAGCAGAAGGGCAUUCUUUCUCAACACUCUUGCUCAUAUACUCCUCAACAGAACGGAGUAGCAGAGAGAGAAUCGUCACUUGUUUGAUGUUGUCAGAGUUUUGGUCCUAGAAUCUUCGGUUAUGCCUAAAAUUUAGGUUGAAGCCCUCUCCACAACUGUACAUCUGAUUAAUCGACUUCCGGCUCAGCAUUUGAAUUUUUACUCACCUUAUUUUCGUCUAUAUGGCGCACAUCCUAGUAUGACAUGUUGCAUACUUUUGGCUGUGUCUGUUUCAUUCAUUUGCCUACACAUGAACGUCAUAAGCUUGCUGCUCAAUCAGUACCGUGUGUUUUCAUGGGUUACGGUAUUGCUUAGAAAGAUUUUGUUUGUUAUGAUGGUGUCAUUAAUCGCUUUUGUAUCUCUCGCAAUGUGGUUUUCUUUGAGAAUCAGCAUUACUUUCCACAACAUUUAUCAUCUUCUAAUUUGACUCAGCUCAUUAGCUUUGAGGAUUACUCUCAUCCUAUCGAGCGUUUCAAACCAUUAUGAUAUAUCAAAGACGACAACCCCCAGGUUCACUGCCCGAUCCCGUUCCCAAUCCCGAUCCUAUUCCAGACUCUAACACUCUUUAGCAAUCCACUUGCAUUACUCAUCCUCUUGAUGGGUAUGGUUUCUCUGCAACCUUUUCUCAUUUCAUAGUUUCUGCUUCUUAUUCUUAGGUUGUUACCCAACCUUGUUGGGAAAAAGGUAUGCAAGAGGAAUUUCAAGUCCUUCAAGAGAAUGACACAUGAGAUAUUGUUCCUUGUCCUUUUGGCAUCAAACUUAGUGGAUGUAAAUGGGUAUACUUUGUUAAGUUCCACUCUGAUGAAUCACUAGAUCACUAUAAAGCUCGAUUGGUGGCUAUUGGUAAUCGUCAAGAAUAUGGAGUAGAUUAUAAGGAAAUUUUUGCCCUUGUGGCCAAAAUGACAAUGGUUCACAUUGUUUUUACUAUAACUGCCUCCAAAGGAUGGUCUUUACAACAGAUGGAUGUUAAGAAUGCUCUCUUACAUGGUGACAUUAAGGAAAAGAUUUAUAUAACGCCGUCUCCGGGUCUCUUCUCUUUGCCCUCUUUCAAUAUUUAUAAGCUAAAACGCUCACUUUAUGGGAUAAAAUAGGCUCCUACGCUUGGUUUGACAAGUUUCGUUCUACUCUUCUUGGUUUCUCGUUUACUCAAAGUCAAUAUGGUGCUUCUGCUUGUCUACGUGGAUUACAUAGUUAUUAUGAGAGCUAACUCUGGAUUGAUAUCUCAUCUUCAAGACCGACUUAAGGAAUCUUUUCAUAUGAAGGAUUUAGGGCCUUUAUAGUAUUUCGUAGGUCUUAAGGUGCAUUCAAGUCCAGCCGAGACUUACCUACAUCAACAUAAGUAUACAGAGAAGCUGAUUAACUUAGCUGGACUUCCAAAUGGUAAAUAUGUUGAAACUCCUUUGGAGUUGAAUGUGAAAUAUCGCGAGGAGAAGGGUGAUCUUCUUCUUAAUCCCUCUUUUUUAUAUCGACAAUUGGUGAGUAGUUUAAAUCACCUUACUAUUACACAACCAGAUAUUUAUUUUGCUGUCAAGUAGGUUUGCCAAUUUAUGCCCGACACCUCCACUUGGCCUCAGUUUGUCGCGUUAUUCGAUACUUGUUGGGUACACCUAAUGGGGGUCUUUUCUUUCUUGUCAACUCUCCUCUUGAUCUGGUUGGUCAUAGUGAUGCCGAUUGGGCCGAAUGUACAGAUAAUCGUCGCUCAAUUAGAGGAUGGCGAAGUAAGAAGCAAGAUCGUGUUUCUAAACUCUCCACUGAGUGAGUAUCGUGCUAUGUCUUCUGCAUGCUCUAAGAUUAUUUGGCUUCGAGGUCUUCUAACGGAACUUGGUUGGCCUCAGCUUAUGCCUACUCCUCUUUAUACGGAUAACACUAGUGCCAUUCAAAUUGCUACCAACUCUGUGUUUCAUGAACGCACUAAACACAUUGAAAUGGAUUGUCACUCUAUAUGUGAGACUUAUGAUGGUCGUUUGAUUACUCUUCCACGUCAUGACUGAUGUCCAAACUGCUGAUUUGUUUACCAAGGUGAUGAGUUGACAAUAUCAGUUUCUUGUAGCAAAUUGAUGCUUCUUGAUCAUCCAGCAUCAAUUUGAGAGGGGAUGUCAAUGAGAUCGAUUGAAAAAUUACGGAAAGAUUACAUUAUGAUUACAUUGCCAUCUUUAUUUGAUUGUAUUUAACAAUUUAGAAUUAUUAAAUACCAUAAUUGUACAUUACCAUAUUAGGUUAAUUACAUACCAUAAAUGUACAGAUUUCAAUUCCUAUAUAAUGACAGAAUCCCCAAAAGGGGCGACAAUCAGCCAAAACUUUUACAUGUUUUUCUCAGAUGUGAUAGAAAGGUGUUGACUUUGGAGGAGAACAUCAAGUCCUGAGGGAGAAUGGAGAAGUCCAUAGUCUCAAAGCCAACAAUUUACGUUGCAGAAUUGAAUGUCCUGUCAAUGGUGGAUAAGAUGGCCAUAGGAUGUUGAGUUUUGUGACUUCACAACGAAAUACCUUAAUUGGAUGAAACAGUCGGGAAAUUCACACUGACUCAGAUGCAUCAUCCAUUAUUUUAGUUUGCUGAUUCUGAUAAUUUGGUCAAAGACUACAACCAUAAUAAAUUAUAUGCUAAAAGCAGAGACAUCAUCUAAAAUAACAACAUUUUUAGUAAAUUACAAGUGGGAAUAACACACGACUCAAAUGACAACUAUAUACCCGUACUCAGACAAGUUGCGCCUGGUUCCAGAACGACUCGUCUUGGUUUGAAUCAUCACUGGUGGUGUGAUAACAAAAGUGCCUGACUUCACAAACAACAUAUCCCUAGUAUUGAGAGGAUUUCCACCCACAUGGAAAAAGACAAUUUACAAAACACUAUUGAUAUGAAAUCAGAAGCUCAAUCGAAAUAACACACAAUAAACCACUCAGGCAUUACUUGAAUCUCACAUCCAAUCGAAGCGAAAAAGUUGAUACAGAAAUUGGAGAAAAUUCAGGUAUAAUUAAUUUCAUACAAGAACACAUUGAAUGCAAGAAUGAAACCCCACAUAAUAACAGUUGUUUUCUAUUGUGAUGCAUAAUAAAGGUGUAAAAUCAUAAAUUUGAAGAUUCAAGUUGAACACUAUGUUACUCCGUUUACGAUAUAACUCGAGUAUUCUUGCCAGUCCAUUCUGGUAUCUUCCUCGAUAAAAAUAAGCCUCAUACCAUGUUACUCGUAUUUCUGAAAAUUAAUAGAACUUGUACGUAGCGAAUAAAUGGGAUGAAUUGCUAUUGUCACCAUUCACUCGAGCAUAGUCACUAAUCGGAUGAGAAAGUUAAAGUCCAGCUAACUAAAAUAGCAGUGUGAAGAUGUACACUUUCUAAGGAUACAAACUGAACAAGUUUGGUUGUGCGAAGAAUAGAAUUGACCUCGAUAUGGUUUAAAGUGGUUAAUACAAACAAAACAAAGGUAUUUUAUAUAUAUUAUUCGGUCUAGCAAUAAACUUCUUGCACUCCAGAAAUUGAUGCAAAUUAUUCAAACAUCAUCCCUAGAAUGAAAGUUAAAAACAAAUAGCAAGGCCAAAGUAAAAUGUGUAUAUCAAAGUUCCUCACAGCAGCGGAGCUUUUCCGGCUGUUAAUACUCUCUAUAUAUACAAGCAGCCAUUUAGCACUAAAGAGGAGGAGAUAGGACCUAACAAAAUUACAUAUUUAUCCUUUUUGCUUAUUAUCAUAUGGGAUAGUAGAUCCAUGGACAGAAGAUCCUAGUAUACACCUCGGAGGCUAUAAUGAUAAUAAUAUCAUGACGAGAAAGAAAGAGAGAGGGAGAGAGAUGCUGACGCAUCAUCAUCUGCCUUGCUUGCAGCCNNNNN